CACAGUGAGUCUUUCCAAACUACAGAGAAGUUCCAUCCUUCCAGAAGCCACCUGCCUUGCCCUGAAUAAGAAACAACUUAUCUGCAAAGGCUUGGAACUCUGUUGACCUGGAUCCUAUCUUACCAUAUACCUUCCUGUCUAUACUGAUAAAAAUCCGUGGCUAUCGUCUUUGACACUGAAGAUACGUAGCAGGUCAGAAACACAGCACAUAAUUGAUCCAGGGUCGAGCUCAGAAAGGAAGGAGCAGGCUGGGAGAAGUGUUUCCUGGGUCAAACUCUCACUUCCUUGUAUCCGUGUACUAGGAGUGAGGUGCCAUGAAGAGCAAACAGAUGGAAGAAUAGAGGCUAGAGGACAGUCUGCCGAAGCCAACUUGCUGGCAAGUGGGUAGAACAGGGUUCGAAUCCACCAAACUCGCAACUGUCCUUACAACCAGUGUAGCGCACUGGCGCACGCGAGGAAGAGGAGCUGAAGGUGCCUGCAGACACUCCAAGCGAAGGGCUAGCCACUCGUGCUCCCUUGGAGACCAUCGCCACAUGUAAGCUGACCAUGCGUUUACCAGGGCGCCGUGAAAAACAGCU